rnacentral:rRNA from 1 species
AGAUACCCUGGUAGUCCACGCUGUAAACGAUGGGGUACUAGGAUUGGUGGGAGUUGACCCCCUGCCGAUCCGGAGCUAACGCGAUAAGUACCCCGCCUGGGAAGUACGGUCGCAAGACUAAAACUCAAAGGAAUUGACGGGAGCCCGCACAAGCGGUGGAUUAUGUGGUUUAAUUCGAAGCAACGCGCAGAACCUUACCUAGGUUUGACAUCCUUUGACAAUACCAGAGAUGGUACUUUCGUAGCAAUACGACAAAGAGACAGGUGCUGCAUGGCUGUCGUCAGCUCGUGUGGUGGCAUGUCGGGUUAAGUCCCUCAACGAGCGCAACCCCUGUGUUUAGUUGCCAGCAUUAAGUUGGGCACUCUAGACAGACUGCCGUGGUUAACACGGAGGAAGGCGGGGAUGACGUCAAGUCCUCAUGGCCCUUACACCUAGGGCGACACACGUAGUACAAUGGUUGAUACAGAGGGAAGCGAAAUGGUGACAUCAAGCAAAUCUCAAAAAGUCAAUCUCAGUUCGGAUUAGAGUCUGCAACUCGACUCUAUGAAGGCGGAAUCGCUAGUAAUCGCGGAUCAGCACGCCGCGGUGAAUACGUUCCCGGGCUUUGUACACACCGCCCGUCACACCAUGGGAGCUGACUCAACCAGAAGACGAUCAGGGUAACCGCAAGGAGCCCUUCGGCGAAGGUGGGGUUGGUGACUGGGGUGAAGUCGUAACAAGGUA